GACGCACGCUGGCGGCGUGCUUAACACAUGCAAGUCGAACGGAGUGGCGAACGGGUUAGUAACACGUGGGUGACCUGCCCUGCACUUCGGGAAAAGCCUGGGCAAUUGGGUCUAAUAUCGGCUAGUGUGGGAUGGGACCGCGGCCUAUCAGCUUGUUGGUGGGGGACUGGCCUACAAAGGCGGCGACGGGUAGCCGGCCUGCGUGGUAGGGCAGCCACACUGGGACUGAGACACAGCCGAGACUCAUGCGGGAGGGAGCAAUGUGGAAUAGUGCACAAGGGGCGGAAGCCUGAUGCAGCGACGCCGCGUGGUGGAUGACGGCCAUCGGUUUGUAAACUCCUUUCACCAUCGACGCGGUAGAUGGAGAAGAAGCACGGGCUAACUACGUGCCAGCAGCGGCGGUAGUUG
rnacentral:rRNA from 1 species